rnacentral:tRNA from 1 species
CCUGAUAGCUCAGAUGGUAAAGCCUCUGUUUACAAUGCAGGAGACCUGGGUUCAAUUCCUGGGUCAGGA